GCUCCGCUGGCGCAAUGGUAGCGCGCAAGACUUCUAAUCUUGAGGUUGUGGGUUCGAGUCCCACGCGGAGUG
rnacentral:tRNA from 1 species